AAGUUGAAAAGUUUUACUAUUGAUCAUAUUUGAAGACUUACCUAGACUACUUAUAGGUAACAUAUAGGUUCAAAGUGCUUUCUAUUUACAUAAAAUAUUCUUAAUGCUUAAAAAAAGAAAAACUGAACUCCUGAUUUCCCUACAAAAUUGGCUUCCUCCACCACUUUCCCCAUCUUUACACAGGAAGGUAAAAUGUACAUAAGAACAAACCUUUCUGCUGUGUCACACUAAAGGCACAGUGUGUGUGGUUUAAGGGUACCGGGCACAUGGCUUCACCAUCUCCUCUGUGGGAAAGUGAGACUCUGUAAGGAAAUGGGGGGGGAACAGAUGAUGAUCAGACUUCAGUGUUUCUUCAUGUCCCCUCUCUGGGAGCACCAGGACCUAGUGAGCAUUAAUAUAUUUAGAGUCAGGCAAAGGAUAGACCCUAGCACAGGGGUCAGGAGGGAAGGCCAGGGACUGGGGACAGCAAUUGCUGGGAUUUAUGUCCCUGCUUCUCAUUACCAGCUUGUAUCCUUGGACAAGUUACCCAAGCUUCUUGCACCUGAGACUUCUCACCUGUAAAAUGUGAUUCCUCCCUCACAGGGUUGCUGAGGGUUAGUUGGGAUUACGAAUGUAUGAAAUGCCCUUAUGAUAUUUCACGGCACAUGGUAAAUGCUCAAUAGAGGACUUAAAAUAGACUAUCACUAUACAUGCAGUUGCUUCCUUUUGAAAAGCCCUAAGCCAAGUAUCUGAAGGUAUUGGCAUGUGUUAGCCUGCUAAAUGAUGUUUUAUACCUGAGGGCUUCCGUGGGCAAAGAAGCUGUCCGUGAAGCCAUUUAUAUAGCAUUAUUUUUAGCAAAAAGAAGUGCCAAUUCACUGGGGGAAAUGUCACGAAGUUGCUGAAGGUAAAAGUCAAUCAUUUACCAUCCUCCAACAGUUGGCCCCCUGUCAGGGCCACUUCCAACUCCUGCCAGGAGACCUCCACAAAUGCAACACCCCUGCUAGGGCCCAGGCAGCACUUGCUCUGAGCAGUGGUGUCACUCAGAGUGAUUGGAACGUCUGCAGAAUCGCAAGAAGUCAGUGUGGACCUCCUUUCUGGAUAAUGUCCAUAGACACUUGAAGAGACGUUGCUAUUCAAAUUUAGGUGGAUGGAUGGACAGGUGAAUGGGUAGAUGGGUGGAUAGAUGGGUCUUUGUGGAUUCACUGGCCUCCUAGAUAGAGCCUCUUCCUUCAGGGCAGGAGUUUCUGGUCUGUUGAGAAGAGAUUUCUUCACCGCCACCAACUGGGUUCAAUUCUAGGCCUGUCUCUAGGCUUCCACUGGAGGCCCAAAAGUCAGACCUACAGAAUGACAGUGGGUCAGCUUUCAGCAGUGCUGCUGGGGGACCAAUCCUGUAACCGUCACAGCCCAAGGCAGUAAGUCAGUCAUGAAGGGCUUGUUCAAUCUGAGUGAAUAGUGCCCUUGGCCUUUACAUAUCAAGUGAUGUCACUAGUGUCCUUGGCCUUGCUACUUAGAAUAUGGCCUGCAGAUCAGAAGCAUGACAUCACCUGGAAGCUUGUGAGAAAUGCAGAAUCAGAAUCUACAUUUUAAUAAACUCUCUGGAGAUUCAUGUACACAUUAAAGCUUGAGAAGUACUAGUUCAAGAGGAUUUUACCCUGGGAGGAGUUUAUUACCAGAGGAUGGGUUGGGCAAGUGUUUUUUUUUAAAAAAAUAUUUUAUUGAAGUAUAGUUGUUUUACAAUGUUGUGUUAAUUUCUGCUAUACAGCAGAGUGGUUCAGAUAUAUAAAUGUAUGUGUGUUCUCUAUAUAAUUUGUAUCUGCUAGCCCUAAACUCCCACUCUAUCCCUCUUCCCGUGCCCUCCCCCUUGGCAACCACAGUCUGCUCUCUGUGUCUGUGAGUCUGAUUUCUCUUUUUUUAAAAUUUUUUUUUUAUUUUUUGUCAUUUCUUGGGCUGCUCCCAUGGCAUCUGAUUUCUAUUUUGUAGAUAAAUGUAUCUGUGUCAUAUUUUAGUUUCUACAUAUAAGUGGUAUCAUAUGAUAUUUGUCUUUCUCCAGCUGAUUUACUUUGCUUAGUAUGAUCAUCUCUAAGUCCAUCCAUGUUGCUGCAAAUGGCAUUAUUUCACUCUUUUCUUGACUGAGUAAUAUUCCAUUGUAUAUAUGUACCACAUCUUUAUCCAUUCCUCUGUUGAUGGACACUUAGGUUGUUUCCAUGUCUUGGCUGCUAUAAAUAGUGCUGCUAUUGGUACAUGUAUCUUUUUGAUUUAUAGUCUUACUUGGAUAUAUGCUCAAGAGUAGAAUUGCUGGAUCAUAUGGCAACUCUUUUUAAUUUUUUGAGGAACCUUCAUGAUGUUUUCCACAGUGGCUAUAUCCUUCUACAUUGAGUUGGGCUCAAUCUUAAUAAAAGCCAGGUAUUAUAUAAAAACAUCUAUAUAUGUUCAUUUUUAAGGCCUCAAUUUUUUAGAAUUUUUUGUUUCUACCCAUUUUUCAUUUAUUUUGUUAAGAACAGGAUCACUUAUAUCUAAUAAAAGUCACCCUUUUUAGAGUUUUCUGUAAGUUUUGACAAGUACAUCACCUUUUUAUUUGUAUACAAUAAAAUUCACUUUUUAAAGUAUACGGUUUUAUCAAUUUUGAGAAGUACAUAUAGUUAUAUGAACUUCACCACAGUCAAGAGUAAAAAACAGUUUUCUUGGCGUUCCUACGGUGGCUCAGCAGUAACAAACCUGACUAGUGUCCAUGAGGAUGUGGUUUCGACCUUUGUCCUCACUCAGUGGUUAAGGAUCCGGUGUUGCUGUGAGCUGUGGUGUAGGUCACAGUUGUGGCUCAGAUCUGGUGUUGCUCCGCCGGCCUCCACCACAACCACAGCAAUGCCAGAUCUGAGCUGCGUCUGCAACCUACAGCACAGCUCAUGGCAACACCGGAUCGCUGACCCACUGAGCGAGGCCGGGGAUCGAACCCACAUCCUCAUGGAUGCUAGUUGGCUUGCUAACUGCUGAGCCACGACAGGAACUCCAUCAUCUCUGCAAGUUUGAUUUGGAUCUUUUUAAAAAGUAUGUUUGAAGUCUCUGAUUAACACAUUCAAUAUUUCCUCUAUUUGAACUAGUAGAAUAUAGUUAUAGUAAUUAUUUUAAUGUCCUUGUCUGCUAAUUUUAACAUUGGUGUUAUUUCCGGAUUGGUUUUGAUUGAUUAAUUCCUCACCUUAUUAUAAACUGUAUUUUUCCACUUCUCGAUGUGUCUGGUAAUCUUUUAUUGAGUGUCAGACAUUGUGAAUUUUUCUCUAUUGACUGCUGGAUGUUUUUGUAUUCCAGUAAAUAGUCUUGAGCAUUGUUUUAGGAUUCAGUUAAGUUACUUAGAAAUAGUUUGAUACAGCUUCGUUAUGUGGGAGCAGAGCAGCAAAUAAACAAUACCUAAUUAUCACCCAUGACCCAGGCAAGACCCUUGUGUGUAUUCUGCCCAGUGGCCAGUGAAUUAUCAGGUUUAAUAAUGAACACUGACUUGGCAGGUAUGAGGGCACUGUCCUGGCCCUGUGUGAGCACCAAGCACUAAUCUCUAACUCAUGUUUUUCUUUCCUUCCCUUCAGUAAUCCCUCACGCACAUGCACUGAUCUGUGCUGAGCUGAAUCAUUCGUCUCUGUGUGGGUAUACAGAGGAUUGUUUGUUGUAAAUUUUUACAAACUGCUUUUAUUUUAUUACUUUUGUUUCUUUAUUAUGUAAAGUGUUUGCAUGGUCCAAAGUCAAGUUCAUAAAAAGGCAUAUUUAACAAAGAUCAGCCUCUAACCUAGAUGCCUUGCCCUUAUAGCUUCCUUUACCAAAAGGGAAUACUUUUUAAUUUUUUAUGGCUCAUUCUUUCAUUUUAAAAAGAUGUUCAAUAUGGUAUCACUUGUAUGUG
rnacentral:lncRNA from 1 species